CCCUUAGAUGUUCUGGGCCGCACGCGCGCUACACUGACUGCUCCGACAAGUUACCUGGGCUGACAAGCAUCCGGGAAAUCUUGCAAAGGCAGUCGUGAUGGGGAUAGAUUCUUGUAAUUUUUGAUCUUCAACGAGGAAUUCCUAGUAAACGCAAGUCAUCAGCUUGCAUUGAUUACGUCCCUGCCCUUUGUACACACCGCCCGUCGCAUCUACCGAUUGAAUGGAGAGGCAAAAUCUUCGGACCGUGACGCUUGGGAGUCAAAUCUCGGGCUGUCGUGGGAAGUGGAUUAAACCUUUCUAUUUAGAGGAAGGUAAAGUCGUAACA
rnacentral:rRNA from 1 species